rnacentral:rRNA from 1 species
CUAGCUGGUCUGAGAGGAUGACCAGCCACACUGGAACUGAGACACGGUCCAGACUCCUACGGGAGGCAGCAGUGGGGAAUAUUGCACAAUGGGCGCAAGCCUGAUGCAGCCAUGCCGCGUGUAUGAAGAAGGCCUUCGGGUUGUAAAGUACUUUCAGCGGGGAGGAAGGGAGUAAAGUUAAUACCUUUGCUCAUUGACGUUACCCGCAGAAGAAGCACCGGCUAACUCCGUGCCAGCAGCCGCGGUAAUACGGAGGGUGCAAGCGUUAAUCGGAAUUACUGGGCGUAAAGCGCACGCAGGCGGUUUGUUAAGUCAGAUGUGAAAUCCCCGGGCUCAACCUGGGAACUGCAUCUGAUACUGGCAAGCUUGAGUCUCGUAGAGGGGGGUAGAAUUCCAGGUGUAGCGGUGAAAUGCGUAGAGAUCUGGAGGAAUACCGGU